UUAUACAGCGAAACUGCGAAUGGCUCAUUAUAUAAGUUAUCGUUUAUUUGAUAGUGCCUUACUACUUGGAUAACCGUGGUAAUUCUAGAGCUAAUACAUGCUAAAAAUCCCGACUUCGGAAGGGAUGUAUUUAUUAGAUUAAAAACCAAUGCCCUCUGGGCUUUUUGGUGAUUCAUGAUAACUUCUCGAAUCGCACGGCCUUGCGCCGGCGAUGGCUCAUUCAAAUUUCUUCCCUAUCAACUUUCGAUGUUUGGGUAGUGGCCAAACAUGGUUGCAACGGGUAACGGAGGGUUAGGGCUCGACCCCGGAGAAGGAGCCUGAGAAACGGCUACUACAUCCAAGGAAGGCAGCAGGCGCGCAAAUUACCCAAUCCCGAUUCGGGGAGGUAGUGACAAUAAAUACUGAUACAGGGCUCUUUCGGGUCUUGUAAUCGGAAUGAGUACAAUUUAAAUCCCUUAACGAGGAACAAUUGGAGGGCAAGUCUGGUGCCAGCAGCCGCGGUAAUUCCAGCUCCAAUAGCGUAUAUUAAAGUUGUUGUGGUUAAAAAGCUCGUAGUUGAACCUUGGGCCUGGCUGGCCGGUCCGCCUCACCGCGAGUACUGGUCCGGCCGGGUCUUUCCCUCUGUGGAACCCCAUGCCCUUCACUGGGUGUGGCGGGGAAACAGGACUUUUACUUUGAAAAAAUUAGAGUGCUCCAGGCAGGCCUAUGCUCGAAUAUAUUAGCAUGGAAUAAUAGAAUAGGACGUGUGGUUCUAUUUUGUUGGUUUCUAGGACCGCCGUAAUGAUUAAUAGGGACAGUCGGGGGGCAUCAGUAUUCAAUUGUCAGAGGUGAAAUUCUUGGAUUUAUUGAAGACUAACUACUGCGAAAGCAUUUGCCAAGGGAUGUUUUCAUUAAUCAGGAACGAAAGUUAGGGGAUCGAAAACGAUCAGAUACCGUUGUAGUCUUAACCAUAAACUAUGCCGACUCGGGAUCGGACGAUGUUAUUUUUUGACUCGUUCGGCACCGUACGAUAAAUCAAAGUGCUUGGGCUC
rnacentral:rRNA from 1 species